rnacentral:ncRNA from 2 species
UCUUCAUGCUAGGGGUGCCUGCGGUAACAGGCUGAGAUUACACCCUUAACACCUGAAUCCGGGUAAUACCGGCGGAGGGAAGCUGUAUAUCGAGGAA